CUUCAUCCAGGCGGCAUGCCUUACCAUGCAAGUCGAACGAGCAGCACGCGGUAGCAAUCCUGGUGGCGAGUGGCGAACGGGUGAGUAAUAUAUCGGAACGUGCCCAGUCGUGGGGGAUAACGCAGUGAAAGCUGUGCUAAUACCGCAUACGAUCUCUGGAUGAAAGCGGGGGACUCGCAAGAGCCUCGCGCGAUUGGAGCGGCCGAUAUCAGAUUAGCUAGUUGGUGGGGUAAAAGCCCACCAAGGCGACGAUCUGUAGCUGGUCUGAGAGGACGACCAGCCACACUGGAACUGAGACACGGUCCAGACUCCUACGGGAGGCAGCAGUGGGGAAUUUUGGACAAUGGGCGCAAGCCUGAUCCAGCAAUGCCGCGUGCAGGAUGAAGGCCUUCGGGUUGUAAACUGCUUUUGUACGGAACGAAAAAGUCUGCCCUAAUACGGUGGGCCCAUGACGGUACCGUAAGAAUAAGCACCGGCUAACUACGUGCCAGCAGCCGCGGUAAUACGUAGGGUGCGAGCGUUAAUCGGAAUUACUGGGCGUAAAGCGUGCGCAGGCGGUUUAUAUAAGUCACAUGUGAAAUCCCCGGGUUCCAACCUGGGUACCUGC
rnacentral:rRNA from 1 species